UGCGCAAAGAGGUCAGUGACAUUUUUGGUAAGUGUGAGGUGGUGUUUAGUUAACACCUCAAACACUCUGUGGAGGUGCCCUUCAUGGUUGAUAGCUACAGGUCCAUGGACAACAAUAUUAUCCAGAUAGAUGUCCACCCCAGGUAUACCAGUGAAGAAUAACCUUCUGAAACAGCUGGCAGCAGAUCUAAGCCCAAACAGGACCUUUGUGUACUGAAACACCCCAGCGUGCAUUACAAGAGUGUCAAGUUGGAGAGGAAUCUGCAGAUAGCCCUAAUGAAGGUCCAGUUUUGUAAGUAUAAUCAAGCCAUGAAAGUAGGAGGUAAGUUUAACCAAUGAAGUAUGUGUCGGGAAUGACAGCCUUGUUUACAGCCUGGAGGUCAAUGCUGAAACGCAGGCUUUCACAUUUCUUUGUAGCUAUGGCAAUUUUUGAGAUCGAUGGAGAAGUAUUAACUGGCUCAAUAUUACUUCCCCCCAGCAGGUGGCGCAGCUCAGCAGUAACACGGUCAGGAAGGGCCACUGAUACCUGAUGCAAGGCUGAAUUAGUGGGGUGACAGAUGAAUUAAGUAGGGGCUGAUGAUUAAAUGCAGGGAGACAGCCUAGCCCCUCCAAUAGGGCUGCGUACUGCUGCCACAGUGAGCUGAUGGUUAAAAUGGCAGAGGGAGAAUCCAAGUGGUAAAAAGAUCGAGGUCCAAUAAGUUAGCACUGGUGUGAGAAGUGAAAGGGAAAGUCUGGGACUAGUUUAGGUACAUCAUGGACUGACAGCUGGAUGGAACCUACCAUCCGUCAAUUAUAAAUACAAUUUUGGAACUGCCAUCGCCACAUAAAGCAGCCGUGUCCUUAGGCAUGUCACACGGGAGAAAAACUGCUAUACAGUAGCUAGAUUCAACUGCCACCUGAUUAUUCAAAAGGAGGGGAAGGCAUAUAUUGUCCCCCUCAACAGUGGAGGUUUUAAAAGAUUGAGGUUGUAACAGGCUAGCGGGGUUUUACUUGUGAAUUCCGCUGCAGUUUCCGUUUGAAAUACGGUGAUCGGCAAUGAUUUCUUCUGGCAUGCUGAAUCGCGCCAAUUACCUCAUACGGCUGCUGUAGCCUAAGGCGAAAAAGAAUCCCACGCAGGUUGGACGCGCGAAAUGUGAACCUAGAAGCGAAAGAGCGUUUUCUUAAUGAGUCCGAGCGGUCUGGAAGAUCAACUGUCCUCCGUUUAAGCAGUGAUAUACUGAUUUCGUCCCUGACAUCGGAAUCCAGGUAUAUUUGAGACGAUUCCAGCCGGCAAGUCCAAGGAACAGGGAGGUGGCGGAAGUGCAAGACGAGGUGGAGGUGGCGGAAGUGCAAGACGAGAUGGGGGUGGUGGAAGUGCAAGACGAGAUGGAGGUGGCGGAAGUGCAAGUAAAGGUGGAGGUGGAGGAAGUGCAAGUAAAGGUGGAGGUGGCGGAAGUGCAAGACGAGAUGGCGGUGGUGGAAGUGCAAGCUCCAUCAUCUUCAUCAAAAUAUUGUGUAAACACAUGAGACACGUUGCAAACCGAAGCCUCGUUUUAUUUUCAGAAAGUCCCUGUCUCACCGCGCACGAAUUCUUUAAAGUGUUUUCCAUGAAAAGUGCUUACCAGUGGAGGUGUAAAUAUCAUAACGAGUCAUUUUUUAAUGUGGCGAUUUGGGGUGGAAUAAUGAUUCCUCUACUUCCGGUUUGCUUGGUCUUGCGUUCACAUGCUGCUCAGGUAGAAGCGCAAACUAGCCGCGCUGGCUAGUGAUUUUCCAAAACGUAGGAUGGCUGAUAUUCACGAAGGAGACGCUGCUUGAUCUUUGAGCUAAGACGCUAUUGGGAAACGCCUCUGUAUUGUAGCACAAAAAAGUCGUCAUUUUUGCAAGACCCUGAGGUAGGUAGGUAGCAGAGUAAACGUAAUGCUAGUCUUAAAAAUGUGUGACAUAUUGGUUAUCAUAUCGGUAUUGGUCGAUAUCCGUUAAAAAAACACAAUGUCGGCAUCGGCCUGAUGUGUCAAAACUCUGAUGUUGCCGGCUGACAUCAAAGUUAGCAGCACUAGAACUAAAUAGGCGAGUGCUGUAAAAUAAUGGAAAAGACUGCAUUGGAUAGACUCCGGAACCCUGGAUAGUACAAGCUGUUUCAGAAAACGGAUGGAUGGAUGGAUGGAUGGAUGGGUUGCGUUGGACGAUCAGCCAUUUUCCGUAGUGGAGGACGAGGAAUUUAGUGGGCUCAUUCACCACUAGAGGAGGUCUUAAAGUUUCUGCCUGCGACAUGGCCCGUAGAUUAUUUUUUCGUUUUUCACAGCAUUUAAUAACGAUGUAACGUUAUUCUGCUAAUCUGCUUCGGCAGCCCUCUCCCCCCAAAUCAACUAACGAUUCCUUUAAUGUUUUAAUGUUUUUUUUCUGUACAGUUCAUUAGUUAUCUUUUUGACAGUUUUACACUGGCGUGUUCUCCUUGUUUAAUAAUGACAAUAAAAUAAAUGUUCUGGGAA